CCGGGGACCACCAUCGCUCUCGUGGGCGAGAGCGGGGCG
rnacentral:SRP_RNA from 1 species